rnacentral:rRNA from 1 species
UACGAAGGUGGCAAGCGUUACUCGGAAUUACUAGGCGUAAAGGGCAGGUAGGUGGUCUCGUAAGUCCGUUGUGAAAGCUCCCGGCUUAACUGGGAGAGGUCAACGGAUACUGCAGGACUUGAGUAUAGGAGAGGUUACUGGAAUUCCCGGUGUAGCGGUGAAAUGCGCAGAGAUCGGGAGGAACACCAAUGGCGAAAGCAGGUAACUGGACUAUUACUGACACUCAGCUGCGAAAGCUAGGGGAGCAAACAGG